UAGGGAAUUUUCGGUCAAUGGGGGGAACCCUGACCGAGCAACGCCGCGUGAGGGAGGAAGUAUUUCGGUAUGUAAACCUCUGUUAUAAAGGAAGAACGAUGCAUGUAGGGAAUGACAUGCAAGUGACGGUACUUUAUGAGGAAGCCACGGCUAACUACGUGCC
rnacentral:rRNA from 1 species